rnacentral:lncRNA from 1 species
CCACUUAACCUCAUCAAGCUGGAAAUGUAAAGAGUAGAGUGAGCCCACAUUUCAGAGCUGCUCUGACCUACUGAUUCAUUCCUCUGGGAGGUUGAGAUCCCCAGACUCUGAGAGAACCUCCCGCUUGUUGCAGCCACGAAUCUAUAUUCUAAUCUCAUGUAUAUCAUUUGCCUUGCUUGCUUACUGGUUCAAAGCAAGCCAAGGUGAGAGCGCUGUUAGGUGAAUGUGAGAUGCCAUUCUCACCUGUCCUCCAGCAAUAACAACCUCUCUCUGUGGACUGGCAUAGGUGGUCACCACCAAAUAAACCUGAACAUCCUGCAAGCAUAUUGGGCUCUUCAAGCAAACAUUUGACAAAUUUGAUCUCACCUUCCUUCCCAACACCACAGUGAUCUAGUUGUGGCUUUCAAGAAGCCUGAGCCAAACUCGCAGUGUGGAGAUGUUAGUUAGUCAUGGAGAUGAAGGUAUAAGCUACCCAGGCCUUUUCCCCGGAGUAAUUGGGCAUGGGCUGGUGAACUUGCAAGGGC